CGAUCGGUAGCCGGACUGAGAGGUUGAACGGCCACAUUGGGACUGAGACACGGCCCAGACUCCUACGGGAGGCAGCAGUGGGGAAUAUUGCACAAUGGGGGAAACCCUGAUGCAGCGACGCCGCGUGGAGGAAGAAGGUCUUCGGAUUGUAAACUCCUGUUGUUGAGGAAGAUAAUGACGGUACUCAACAAGGAAGUGACGGCUAACUACGUGCCAGCAGCCGCGGUAAAACGUAGGUCACAAGCGUUGUCCGGAAUUACUGGGUGUAAAGGGAGCGCAGGCGGGAAGACAAGUUGGAAGUGAAAUCUAUGGGCUCAACCCAUAAACUGCUUUCAAAACUGUUUUUCUUGAGUAGUGCAGAGGUAGGCGGAAUUCCCGGUGUAGCGGUGGAAUGCGUAGAUAUCGGGAGGAACACCAGUGGCGAAGGCGGCCUACUGGGCACCAACUGACGCUGAGGCUCGAAAGUGUGGGUAGCAAACAGGAUUAGAUACCCUGGUAGUCCACACCGUAAACGAUGAUUACUAGGUGUUGGAGGAUUGACCCCUUCAGUGCCGCAGUUAACACAAUAAGUAAUCCACCUGGGGAGUACGACCGCAAGGUUGAAACUCAAAGGAAUUGACGGGGGCCCGCACAAGCAGUGGAGUAUGUGGUUUAAUUCGACGCAACGCGAAGAACCUUACCAAGUCUUGACAUCCUGCGACGAUGCUGGAAACAGUAUUUUCCUUCGGGACGCAGAGACAGGUGGUGCAUGGUUGUCGUCAGCUCGUGUCGUGAGAUGUUGGGUUAAGUCCCGCAACGAGCGCAACCCUUACUGUCAGUUACUACGCAAGAGGACUCUGGCAGGACUGCCGUUGACAAAACGGAGGAAGGUGGGGAUGACGUCAAAUCAUCAUGCCCUUUAUGACUUGGGCUACACACGUACUACAAUGGCGUUAAACAAAGAGAAGCAAGACCGCGAGGUGGAGCAAAACUCAGAAACAACGUCCCAGUUCGGACUGCAGGCUGCAACUCGCCUGCACGAAGUCGGAAUUGCUAGUAAUCGUGGAUCAGCAUGCCACGGUGAAUACGUUCCCGGGCCUUGUACACACCGCCCGUCACACCAUGAGAGCCGGGGGGACCCGAAGUCGGUAGUCUAACCGCAAGGAGGACGCCGCCGAAGGUAAAACUGGUGAUUGGGGUGAAGUCGUAACAAGGUAGCCGUAGGAGAACCUGCGGCUGGAUCACCUCCUU
rnacentral:rRNA from 1 species